CAACCACCAUGACUCUCAUCACCAUCCUCAUCUGGACGCUGGCCUGCUGCUGCCUCAAAGGAUCUAGUAGUGAACUGACUGUCACUCAACCAGCUGUUAUCACAUCUUCUCCUGGAGCCACAGUCACUCUGACCUGUAAAACCAACCCAAAAGUUAAGACAUGGUCAGAUGGAGAUAGUAGAGUACACUGGUAUCAGCAGAAAUCUGGAGAAGCUCCCAAGUUGGUCAUCAAACUGGGUAAAAAUCCUACAAGUGAGUUUUCUUCCAGAUUCUCUGGCAGAGGAGACGGAGUGAAUGCUGAGAUGACCAUCAGUAGAGUUCAGACUGAAGAUGCAGCAGUUUAUUACU